ensembl:lncRNA
UUCUGAAAAAUGCCUUGACAGGAUGAAGGCCCUCUAUGAACUGUUAAUUAAUGGUUGUACUAACCAGCAGCCCGCCACCAGUCCUCCUCCCAUCCAGUCCACCAUCCAUCCCAUCACCAGUCCAUCUCCCAUCCAUCCCAUCACCAGUCCUCCUCCCAUCCAGUCCAUCACCAGUCCUCCUCCCAUCCAGCCCGCCACCAGUCCUCCUCCCAUCCAGUCUAUCACCAGUCCUCCUCCCAUCCAGUCCAUCACCAGUCCUCCUCCCAUCCAGUCCAUCACCAGUCCUCCUCCCAUCCAGUCCAUCACCAGUCCUCCUCCCAUCCAGCCCAUCACCAGUCCUCCUCCCAUCCAGUCCACCAUCCAACUCACCACCAGUCCUCCCAUCCUACCCAUCACAGAACCACCUCAGCAGAAACGCAAUAUGUCUGCAAACAAUAAAAAGAAGCAGAAGAAUUCUGCAGCCUCAGACAUGUCUACAAGGAAGAAACUGAGGGGGAAAAAAUCACCCAAAGAAUGUAACCAUGGGAUCCUAGAAGGGGAACCUUACUACCCAGUGAAGAGGGUGAUCCGCUGCAAAAUGCAGAAGGGGAUCCAAAUGAAGUUGGUGGAAUGGGAGCCCUGUUCACUCUGUGGGAAAACUUGGCCGCCACAGUGGGUGACGGAGGAGAACACCACAAAUUAAGGAAAUGUUCAAUCCCAUUGUUUUGUUCCAUAAGUUAUGUGUAUGUUGUUUACAGUAUAUUAAAAAAAAUUCAAAAGCC